CGGGAUAUAGCGCAGUUAGGUAGCGCGCCUGCUUUGGGAGCAGGAUGCCGCAGGUUCAAAUCCUGCUAUCCCGA
rnacentral:tRNA from 1 species